UCUGGAAUAUGACUCAAUGUUCAAACUAUACAUGUACAUGUAUUUCCACAACAGAGCGGAAUAGUCACAAAGAACUACAAUAAGAAUAUUUUUAUUAAUUAGUAAACCUUAAACUGUGGAUCCUUCCUCUCUCUUGAAAAAAUUGUUAUCUUAAUUUCUCUGUGAUUGUCUUGACUUUCAUGAAAUUGGUUACAAAGAAACUAUGAUAUGCAGUUUUGUGGAUGAAAAGAAGCAUGCAUCCACAAUUUUUGGUAAUAAAUGCUGUUUUUCAGGUGGAAGAAUGUGUAAUAAUAUUGGUGUAAUAUGAUUGUUGUCUUUUAUCUUGCAGGAAUUAUUGGCUAUAGAUAUCACAAAACAUGGGAUGUACAAGGCAUUAAAAUGCAGAUGGCAAUCAUUGAUGGAUUUUCUGGGGGGGGGGGUGCACCCCCAAUAGUAUCUUCACCACCUCAGAAAGUUUUUCCACCACAGAAAUUUAAAUGCUGGUUUGAUUAAAUGACAGCAGUAUAAUUGAACAAGAAUUUUGAACUAAAUAAGGCUAAAAAACAAGGCCAAUAUUCUCGAAAUAUCCUGGGGUCGUUGCCCCCAACCUUACCCCAACUGUGUCCCCACUAGUGACUGUACCCUCAGACUCUGCUGCAUCUUACUCAGCACACUAUGUGCUCCUUGCUCACUUUUCUGCACACCCACACUCCCCAAGCAAAAUUUGAAAAUCUGUCUAUGAUGGUGAUGAUAAUUAACUUAUAAAAGUAUAAACCUUUAUUAUUAAGUUAAUUAAAGAAUCAUUGUCAACUACAAUGCAUUGCAUGCUCGUGUUUGUUUAUACAUAUGGGAACUGUGCAAUUAAAUAUGAUAAUUAUUUGCAUGAUAUGAUAAGUACUGCGCUGCCUGCUAUUACAGUAUUACUUGAAAGCCUUCAGGGGUGGAUCCAGCAAGGUUUUUCUAGGGGGUGCUGGGUGAGCAGCCAAGUGUUUCUUUAUAAUUUUUUGGGGGGUGGUGGGAGUGAAACGACUCAAGCACUAAAGGCGCGAGCUCCCUAGGGGGUUGAGGGAUAUGCCCCCAGAAAAUUUUGAAAAUUAGAUCCCUAGAAAUGCUAUUUCCUGUGAUAUGGACAUUGAAUUAUGAGCUUCAGUUUGACUUCAAAAAAGGGAAAACCUUGGAAAUUAUGCCAUGUUUCUGAAUUUGAUUUUAUUGCACCCCUGUUGACCAAGGCCAACAGGGGUGUGCACCCUCCCUAUUAAUCCACCCCUGAAUUAAGUUAACACAUACUCCACUACAUCAUGUAUACUUAAUUACAAUAAUUUUAGUGUUAAUUUAAAAUUAUUCACUGUUAAUAAUUUUACUGUAUUGAAAAGUCCAAUUAAAAUAGUUCAAAAUUAAUCCAGCUUUUGUGUCUUCAAUUUCCAUACAUCUUGCUUGUACUGUAUUUUGCCUGCCCUACUUUUACUUGUCAAUGGGAGAGCCACUCUAUGGGUUAACUGGGAAACCAGAGUGAGUUAGGACAAAUGCCAGAUUAUGAUAUCCCAAUUGUGAGAUAAUUCUGGAAUAAACAAAAAUAUAUUAUAUGUUGUAACUUUGAGCACAAAAAUGAUGAUGGGAAAAACAAAACAAUGCGACUCAAUGUGAUUCAGAGAUACCAGAACCAUUGGUGCAAUUAUCAGGCUUAACCCAUUGAGCCGCAAUGCGCCCCAGCGUGCCCUACUUUUUUUUACUUGUCUGACACGAGAUGAUUUUACUUGUCAAUUGGGG
rnacentral:lncRNA from 1 species